AAGACAAAAAUUACCAAUUUCUCUCAAUUAAGCUGGGAAAAGUUCAUUACUUGUACAAAAAAAUGGCUAGAAUUGAGAGAAUAUAUAGGUAUUGAGAAGACUGUGGCAUCUGAAGCCGUUUUGAGAACACACCAGUUCGAUCAAUUCUUUUGAGGCUGACAUAUCAAACAGCGGACAUGAAACUGAUGACGAAGAAGACACUAGACCAAGGAAGUUACUCCGGUCAUCAAGACAAGAUGCUACUCCAGGAGUCCAGAGAACAUCUCACGUGCUUCCUCGCCAAGUGCAUCCUAUGUCGAAAAACAAAACACAAGCGAGACCGUGUUACAAAAAAGUCGUGUGAAGAACGGUUGUCCCAGUGUGAAACCUUACAAGCUGGAUGCUUAAUAAAAGGUGCAAAACAAAAGAAAGAUGAGGUUUUGCUCCUGCAUUUUCAAAAUGUGGACCCUGUUUCUGCAGAAGUAUGCUAUCACCAUAGUUGCUACGUUACGUACACUCGAUUUUUACGUGCUUCAGAGAGUCGAGGACCUGUUGAUACG